GAUGAACGCUAGCGGCAGGCUUAAUACAUGCAAGUCGUGGGGCAGCAUGAGUAGCAAUACUUGAUGGCGACCGGCAAACGGGUGAGGAACACGUACACAACCUUCCUUCAAGCGGGGAAUAGCCCAGAGAAAUUUGGAUUAAUACCCCAUAAUAUAUUUGAUAAGGCAUCUUAUUAAUAUUAAAGCUUCGGCACUUGAUGAUGGGUGUGCGGCUGAUUAGAUAGUUGGCGGGGUAACGGCCCACCAAGUCUACGAUCAGUAGCUGAUGUGAGAGCAUGAUCAGCCACACGGGCACUGAGACACGGGCCCGACUCCCUAACGGGGAGGCAGCAGUAAGGAAUAUCGGACAAUGGACGAAAGUCUGAUCCAGCCAUGCCGCGUGAAGGAUAAGGUCCUCUGGAUUGUAAA
rnacentral:rRNA from 1 species